rfam:Gossypium arboreum cultivar AKA8401 contig_133511_1, whole genome shotgun sequence.
AAUCCAUGGUGAGGUCAACCUCUCAAUAGAUCAUUGUAUCUCUACCAUGCAUCAUAAAGUGUUCCUAAAUCCAUUUGCACAAAAGAAGAAAUAUUAUUCCUUAGUUU